AUCAACAAAUUAAAUGAAUCUGAAAAGUAUCAGUGAAAAUUU
rnacentral:guide_RNA from 1 species